AGUGAACGCUGGCGGCAGGCCUAACACAUGCAAGUCGAGCGGCAGCGGGUCCUUCGGGAUGCCGGCGAGCGGCGGACGGGUGAGGAAUGCGUCGGAAUCUGCCUUUUUGUGGGGGAUAACGUAGGGAAACUUACGCUAAUACCGCAUACGACCUACGGGUGAAAGUGGGGGACCGCAAGGCCUCACGCAGAAAGAUGAGCCGACGCCGGAUUAGCUAGUUGGCGGGGUAAAGGCCCACCAAGGCGACGAUCCGUAGCUGGUCUGAGAGGAUGAUCGGCCACACUGGAACUGAGACACGGUCCAGACUCCUACGGGAGGCAGCAGUGGGGAAUAUUGGGCAAUGGGCGCAAGCCUGAUCCAGCCAUGCCGCGUGUGUGAAGAAGGCCUUCGGGUUGUAAAGCACUUUUGUCCGGAAAGAAAUCCAAUCGAUUAAUACUCGGUUGGGAUGACGGUACCGGAAGAAUAAGCACCGGCUAACUUCGUGCCAGCAGCCGCGGUAACAC
rnacentral:rRNA from 1 species